GCCCGUAUUAGGGACUAACUUUUCCUCCUCACUGAAAGUGCUUUACAACCCGAAAGCCUUCUUCACACACGCGGCAUGGCUGGAUCAGGGUUGCCCCCAUUGUCCAAUAUUCCCC
rnacentral:rRNA from 1 species